AAAUUGAAGAGUUUGAUCAUGGCUCAGAUUGAACGCUGGCGGCAGGCCUAACACAUGCAAGUCGAACGGUAACAGGAAGCAGCUUGCUGCUUCGCUGACGAGUGGCGGACGGGUGAGUAAUGUCUGGGAAACUGCCUGAUGGAGGGGGAUAACUACUGGAAACGGUGGCUAAUACCGCAUAACGUCGCAAGACCAAAGAGGGGGACCUUCGGGCCUCUUGCCAUCAGAUGUGCCCAGAUGGGAUUAGCUAGUUGGUGAGGUAACGGCUCACCAAGGCGACGAUCCCUAGCUGGUCUGAGAGGAUGACCAGCCACACUGGAACUGAGACACGGUCCAGACUCCUACGGGAGGCAGCAGUGGGGAAUAUUGCACAAUGGGCGCAAGCCUGAUGCAGCCAUGCCGCGUGUAUGAAGAAGGCCUUCGGGUUGUAAAGUACUUUCAGCGGGGAGGAAGGUGUUGUGGUUAAUAACCGCAGCAAUUGACGUUACCCGCAGAAGAAGCACCGGCUAACUCCGUGCCAGCAGCCGCGGUAAUACGGAGGGUGCAAGCGUUAAUCGGAAUUACUGGGCGUAAAGCGCACGCAGGCGGUCUGUCAAGUCGGAUGUGAAAUCCCCGGGCUCAACCUGGGAACUGCAUUCGAAACUGGCAGGCUUGAGUCUUGUAGAGGGGGGUAGAAUUCCAGGUGUAGCGGUGAAAUGCGUAGAGAUCUGGAGGAAUACCGGUGGCGAAGGCGGCCCCCGACAAAGACUGACGCUCAGGUGCGAAAGCGUGGGGAGCAAACAGGAUUAGAUACCCCGGUAGUCCACGCCGUAAACGAUGUCUACUUGGAGGUUGUGCCCUUGAGGCGUGGCUUCCGGAGCUAACGCGUUAAGUAGACCGCCUGGGGAGUACGGCCGCAAGGUUAAAACUCAAAUGAAUUGACGGGGGCCCGCACAAGCGGUGGAGCAUGUGGUUUAAUUCGAUGCAACGCGAAGAACCUUACCUGGUCUUGACAUCCACAGAACUUUCCAGAGAUGGAUUGGUGCCUUCGGGAACUGUGAGACAGGUGCUGCAUGGCUGUCGUCAGCUCGUGUUGUGAAAUGUUGGGUUAAGUCCCGCAACGAGCGCAACCCUUAUCCUUUGUUGCCAGCGAUUAGGUCGGGAACUCAAAGGAGACUGCCAGUGAUAAACUGGAGGAAGGUGGGGAUGACGUCAAGUCAUCAUGGCCCUUACGACCAGGGCUACACACGUGCUACAAUGGCGCAUACAAAGAGAAGCGACCUCGCGAGAGCAAGCGGACCUCAUAAAGUGCGUCGUAGUCCGGAUUGAGUCUGCAACUCGACUCCAUGAAGUCGGAAUCGCUAGUAAUCGUGGAUCAGAAUGCCACGGUGAAUACGUUCCCGGGCCUUGUACACACCGCCCGUCACACCAUGGGAGUGGGUUGCAAAAGAAGUAGGUAGCUUAACCUUCGGGAGGGCGCUUACCACUUUGUGAUUCAUGACUGGGGUGAAGUCGUAACAAGGUAACCGUAGGGGAACCUGCGGUUGGAUCACCUCCUUA
rnacentral:rRNA from 1 species